rnacentral:rRNA from 1 species
UACAACUUUCAACAACGGAUCUCUUGGUUCUGGCAUCGAUGAAGAACGCAGCGAAAUGCGAUACGUAGUGUGAAUUGCAGAAUUCAGUGAAUCAUCGAAUCUUUGAACGCACAUUGCGCCCUUUGGUAUUCCAAAGGGCAUGCCUGUUCGAGCGUCAUUU